UCGGGAAUCUUCCGCAAUGGGCGAAAGCCUGACGGAGCGACGCCGCGUGAGCGAUGAAGGCCUUCGGGUUGUAAAGCUCUGUGGGGAGAGAAGAAUAAGUUCAGGCAAAUACCCUGAAUGAUGACGGUAUCUCCUUAGCAAGCACCGGCUAACUCUGUGCCAGCAGCCGCGGUAAUACGGAGGGGGCUAGCGUUGUUCGGAAUUACUGGGCGUAAAGGGCUCGUAGGCGGCCAACUAAGUCAUACGUGAAAUCCCUCAGCUUAACUGGGGAACUGCGUGUGAUACUGGAUGGCUUGGAUUUGGGAGAGGGAUGCGGAAUUCCAGGUGUAGCGGUGAAAUGCGUAGAUAUCUGGAGGAACACCGGUGGCGAAGGCGGCAUCCUGGACCAAUAUUGACGCUGAGGAGCGAAAGCCAGGGGAGCAAA
rnacentral:rRNA from 1 species